CGCCUGCAGGAGCCCCAGUCCAGAACAACCCUUCCCCUCCACUGACUUCUAACUCCUCCGCCUUGACUUCCUGACUCAAAAAGUCAGCAUCAUUGAACAACUCUGUUCUGCAGCAAAUUCUGAGCAUGAUUCUGUUCUGAACAAACGCAAUGCCCAUGUCAAGUUGUCCACAUAUAAGCCUGGGUAGUUUUGUUAAGCUAGAGUUCCGCGUGGGCCUGAGAGGGAUGAGUUUUACAGACACGAAAAGUUAUGGCAGUAGUUAUGGUAACGCUAACAGUCAGUUGUUGCUGUUGGACAUCACAACAAAUAUCAUGAAGAAUAAAAAGUUUAAUAACUUGUUCCAAUCUUUAUGGGACAAACAGAAAUUGAACGAGAGAAAAUCAAGGAACAAUAAAAGCGUAAGCUUUCCUAGAAUGAUACUUCUGCUGUUGAUAGUUUGGCGACAGUAGGGUUAUGGACUGCCCCAGAUUGUCCUCUCAGCGGCCAAAAUAUCAUAAUAGAAUGGACUUUUGGCAAUGUUACUGACAAAGAAAGGCAGUAAUGACUUGGUUGUGAAUACCCAGAGCACUAUACAUCCAUGCUGACACAGAAAGGAAGUAAUGACUUGGUUGUGAAAACCCAGAGCACGCUACAUCCAUGCUGACAAAGAAAGGCAGUAAUGACUUGGUUGUGAACACCUCGAGCACGAUACAUCCAUGCUGACAAAGAAAGGCAGUAAUGACUUGGUUGUGAACACCUAGAGCAUGAUACAUCCAUGCUGACAAAGAAAGACGAUAAUGACUUGGUUGUGAACACCCAGAGCACGAUACAUCCAUGCUGACAUAGAAAGGCAAUAAUGACUUGGUUGUGAAAUCCCAGAGCACUAUACAUCCAUGAGGUGUGCAUCAGAAGCGAAUUCUGCAUAUUAUUGUAAACAAGUUGCUAACAGUGAACACGUCUGGUUUUGUUAUGAGAACUUCCCACUCAGAGCCCAAAGGUCCUCGCAUUGAAUCGAUGCAAAUGAAGACUUUGAAAAAUGACAGCAGUUGUGUUGUGAUGUCCAGUAAUCCUUUCAACUCUCAACCUGAAGUUUAUCAAAACUCAAUCUUAGCCCUCUGCAGUACUUUACCAUGAAUGUUUCACGUUUUAAAACACCAACAUUUCAAUUUAAAGUUUGUGCGCGUAAUAUAUUGAUACAUUGCUAUUCUGAGUUCUAAUUGCGAUAUCCUAAAUAUCAAUAAUAGGUGAAAUGUUUGGCAUUAAAAAACAGGUGUGUAAAGUAAUUUGUAACAGUGCAUAUUCAUUUGUCACUAAAAAAAUCAGGGUUUAGUUUGCUUGUCAUUUCCUUUUUAGCAAACAUUAUUAGACAACAAAAGGAACGUCGUUUAAGUGACAGUCCAAGACAAUUCCGACCCAGUUUGGGCACAAAUACUUCUAAUUAAAGAAAUUCAGUUUGUCUUGCGUCAGCCUACAUGUAGCAAGCCUCUUAUAAACAUCUCCCAAGUUGGCUACAUCAACGCUUCCAACAGCGGAGCUGGGCAUCAACACAUUGUUCCGAACGAGUCGCUCGAACUAAAGCGAUCUGAUCCAACAGAGAGCAGGCUCUGCGUGACUCGUCUGUUAAUGUGAUUGACCUCGAUAUGUUGCUUUCCAAUAAUGUGAGCCUAACUCCAGAUUAGCUGUCUGCGAUUGAAGCAAUUCAACAACAGUUGUUGUCAGGAAUUUCCGGCUUUAGGAUGGCGAUUUGGCGUCGGGGCUUCAUCUCUGUCUUUGGCCUGGUUGCAGCAGAAGCAGCAACAAGAACAACAAUUAGUAUUAGAGACGUGAUCUGGGAUAUGGGGCUUCAUAGCCUGUUCCUACAGGAACCCAUGCAAUCAUAGAUCGGUACCUAGCUGAACAACAGGGAGGAGCCACACUGAACCUGGGGCUCCAUACUUUCUUGGCCAGGGGUCAAGAUAACCUCGUCAAUAAGGGACACAUUCCUGGGAUGCCCUACGGUCUUUCUAUCUGUUCACAGAGGUCUUAUACUCACAAGUUCAAGCCCAGUGAGCGAUGUUCACAUUAUCAAACUCUGCAUCUCAAUAGAAACCCUGAUAUCAAAGCGUUGAGCUUUUUUUGAAGCAUUUGCACCAGCAACAGUCAUCAUCUCGAGUUACUGGCAUCUCUAUGGUGUGGAACCCUCCGUCUUUGAACAUCAUAACAGCACAUGAACCAGUGGCACUCAUCAUCUCAAGAUUCUGGUAUAUCCAUGGUGCAGGACCCUCGGUCUGCAAAGAUCAUGCAGAGCGAACCUCAGAUGCCAUUAGAUGUAAUCAAACCAUCCAAUCAGAAACACAGCCUGUUGCAGCAGUUGUUACCAUUUUGACCCCAGUCAAACCUAAGAAGCACUUACUGGUUGAAUUUUAUGAUGGGUGAAAAUGAAUGACCUUGUUCAGUUCGAAAUGGCAAAAUGACAGAUUACAACAAUUCAAGUGGAAAGCCAGAAAGUCAUGUCAACAGUCACAUUUUGUAUGUGUAACAGCCAAGUUGUUUUCAAAGAAAAACAAUAGUUUAUGUUUUAUUUUUUAUGUGACCAAUGUUUCAUGCGCUGUCAGUCUCUUUAUGUUGAAAGUUUUGGUUAAACAUGAUAGCAUGUUAAGUUUUUUUAAAGCACACAUAUUGCAUUUAUAUCCAAUGUCUUUGUCUGUAUAAUGAAUUUUUCACUACUUAUUUUGAUCCUUAUAAUGGUAAAUGUAUGGGAAAAACAAUUUUAUCAAAGAUAUUCUAAGAUUGUCAAUAUAAAGAAGUGAAACUCCAGCUGCUGGAGCAGUAUUGAAUUUUCAUUAAAAACAAUUAGUAGGUCCUUUAUUUAAGGCAAGUGACCGAUUGCCCAAACAGUACAAAACAGCACAAUACAGCACAAUACAAACCAACAUAAACACAAAAUAUGAAUAAAGCUGUGGUCACCAGUCUGUUUAAAUGAUGCUGGUAACUUUGACAAGAUUGAAAAGAAUGAGUAUUUUCAUG